rnacentral:rRNA from 1 species
AUACGGAGGUGGCAAGCGUUGUUCGGAUUUACUGGGUGUAAAGGGUGUGUAGGCGGUCAGGUAAGUUAGAUGUGAAAUCCUGCGGCUCAACCGUAGAACUGCAUUUAAAACUACUUGACUUGAGUGUAUGAGAGGAAAGGGGAAUUCUCGGUGUAAGGGUGAAAUCUGUAGAUAUCGAGAGGAACACCAGCGGCGAAGGCGCCUUUCUGGCAUAUUACUGACGCUGAGACACGAAAGCGUGGGGAGCAAACAGGAUUAGAUACCCUGGUAGUCCACGCCGUAAACUAUGGAUACUAGGUGUCUUUACCUUAAGGUGAAGGUGCCGCAGCUAACGCAUUAAGUAUCCCACCUGGGGAGUACGUCGGCAACGAUGAA